AGUCAGCCUGUCCUUUGAAGCUUGGAAGUCAGGCAUUGACUUCUCUCUAGCUGUGAAAGUCCUAGAUGGCAU
rnacentral:miRNA from 1 species